UUGCUGACAAUCGGUGAUUGAUUGUUAUAAAAAAAAUAAAACAUUUUUUUUUUACAUUCGCUUGAUCAAAACACAGAAGCCGAAAAUGCCUGAAUAAAUACAGUUUUGUCUAUAUUUUAAAAACAAAAUACUCUAGAGAGAAAUGAGAUCCCUAAAUAAAAAUUGGAACUCUGCAAAUUUUGAAUAUGAGUCGAAGCAAAUAACAGUCUAUAAAUCCUCCCUAAAGAAAACAAAUUGGUAUAAUCCUAAGGAAAAAUUUUGUACUAGAAAGUAACGUGUUGCCAUUUGAAAAAAAGUGCUGCAGAAUCGCAUCGAAUGUUUGUCGAGGCAUUUGGUGAAGAUGCUCUAUCAGAAAUAAUAUGCAAACGAUGGUUUCAACGGUUCAGAGUGUUAUACUCGGAGCAAUGACAGCCAUUUUAUUAUCAUCGGGAUAUGGAACGUUCAGAUAAUGUACCAAAACUAUAUCGGGAUUCUGAGAAAUUAAAGAGUUUAAUUCAAAAUCACAAGAGUUAUUGAAAUGGAGAGAAAGAAAAUAAUAAUGAAAUAGUAAUGAAGAUCGGCUCACCUGUAACAACCAGUAGCACCUGCGAUGAAAAGUCGGAAGGAUAGCGGAAUGAACAUAGCAGCCAUAAAUACACUGUAAAAGACCAAACAAAUAUUUUUAGUAUUUCCCUUUGUAAUAUCUAAAAACAUUUAUCUUAUAUUGUUAUCUCGAGAAUACGAAGAAUCAAUAAAGUCAACUUGAAAACUGAGAAAAACAAAUGCAUAAAAAUGCACUAAAAUCUCGC